GACGAACGCUGGCGGCGUGCCUAAUACAUGCAAGUCGAACGCAGUGGGGACGGGUGAGUAACACGUGGGUAACCUCCCAUCAGAGGGGAUAACACUUGGAAACAGGUGCUAAACCGAUACUGAUGGAUGGACCCGCGGGGCAUUAGCUAGUGGGGGGGGUAAAGGCUCACCAAGGCGACGAUGCAUAGCCGACCUGAGAGGAGGAGCGGCCACACGGGGACGUAGACACGGCACAGACUCCUACGGGAGGCAGCAGUAGGGAAUAUUCUGCAAUGGACGAAAGUCUGAUGGAGCAACGCCGCGUGAGUGAAGAAGGUUUUCGGAUCGUAAAACUCUGUUGUUAGGGAAGCGGUAUCUAACCAGAAAGCCACGGCUAACUACGUGCCAGCAGCCGCGGUAAUAC
rnacentral:rRNA from 1 species